rnacentral:misc_RNA from 1 species
AAGUCGUAACAAGGUAACCGUAGGUGAACCUGCGGUUGGAUCAUUACUGAGAAUUGUAAAGUAAACUUGUGAAUUGUCGCAGAAAGUCUUUAAGAGACAUGGCAACAUUCAAUGUGGGUGAUGGAAGUUGGUAAUAAAAAGUAAAGGGAAAAGUGAAAAACAACUUUUGACAAUGGAUCUCUUGAGUCCU